ACACACACUGAAAGACCCCAGCUUAGCAGCAGUAACGCCAUUUUACAAGGCUAUAUUUAAGAUGACUGGUUCAGGGAAAGGUUAGAACACUGAGUACACAGCGGCUGCCAAACAAGAUGUGUUUGGUUGAAGGCCUGGCAACAGGAGGACUGCCGUUGAACACCUGACAAUGAGAAAAGCCCCGGGAGAGGUCCCACACCCUGGUGGGGGGCCGAGUCAGCCGUUAUGUUCCAAGAAGGUAGCUAAGAAACUUGCCCCCGGGCUGAACCCUUGGGGGGCCGAGUCAGUCCUUAUGUUUCAGGAAGGUAGCUAGGAAACUUGCCCCCGGGCUAAACCCUUGCCAUAUUAGAAUCCACCAAUUAUAUCCCUGUAACCAUGCAUCUGCUUCUGUAUGCUUGCUUCUGCUCCCCAAAAUCCUAUAAAAGCCCAUCCUUGGUUCCGUGGGGCGCGCCAGUCCCCCGAGUGACUGAAGCGCCCGCAGGUGCCUGUGCCUGUGUAUCCCGACAAUAAACCAAAUCCUCUUGCUGAUUACAUCCUGUGGUGUCUCGGUCUGGUCUUUGGAGUUAGAGGGUCUCCAUCCCGAGGGAAAGUUCUCCCUGAGAGCUUUUCAUUUGGUGCAUUGGCCGGGAAAGGAGAUCCUCCACCCAGGGACCACCGACCACCCACUGGGAGGUAAGCCGGCCGGCGUCUGUCUGUCUGUCUGAUUUUGUCUCGUUCUGCCUUAUUCUGUCUGUUCUGUGAGCGCUCAGCCAGGUCUGUUCUGUGAGCGCUCAGCCAGGUUGUUUGGAAUUUGGGCGGGACGAAGAAGGAGCUGACGAGCUCGGACUUCUCGCCCCGCAGCCCUGGAAGACGUUCCAAGGGUGUUGGGGCCCGACUUUUCGGGGCCCAAUCUGGGAGAGGAGAAAGAUCCGGACUAACGGCACCUCUGUCUGUAGUUUUGGCUUUCAGAGGGCCCCGGACCUUUGCCACCUCCAUCUGACUUUUUGCUUUCAGUUUGGUACCAAAGCCGUGCAGCACGCCUGUCUGUUGUUUGUUUGACUGUUGGUGUUGUUUGUUUUCUCUGUGUUCUAAUCUUCCUUAGAACUAACAUGGGACAGUCCCUAACAACGCCCCUAAGUCUCACUCUUGAUCAUUAGAAAGACGUCCACGACCGGGCACACAACCAGUCCGUCGAGGUUAAAAAAAAAAAAAAAGGAAAAUGGCAGACUCUCUGCACAUCCGAGUGGCCCACUUUCGGAGCGGGAUGGCCAGUGAAUGACACAUUUAAUAAGAUCAUUAUUUUACAGGUUAAAGAUCGGGUCGUCCACGGACAUCCUGAUCAGGUUUCUUAUAUUAUCACUUGAGAGAGUCUCGCCUUAAACCCCCCCCCCCCGGGCGGAACCCUUCGUGGACCCGAAUUGGCCUCCCCUCAACCCCCAGCCUGUCCCCUCGGCCCCGCCCGGUCCGCCGGCCACGUCUUCCUCUCUCUACCUUUGUGAAAUCAGAGCCUUCUAAGAAACCUGUCCUCCCGGCAGACCCAAACUCCCCUCUCAUAGAUCUUCUCUCUGACAGGCCCGGCUGAAACGGAGGAGGCAGAGCCGCCGGCCAGAUCAGUUCCCGGGCCACAGUCUGAUAAGGGUUUCUCCCCUGUCGCAGGGAGAUUGCACAAUAAGCGCGAGGUGAUGCCAGAUUCAACCUCCCAGGCUUUCCCACUUAGACAGGGAACCGGUGGCCAGACCCAAUACUGGCCGUUUUCAGCAGCUGACAUUUACAAUUGGAAACAACACAACCCUUCUUUCUCCAAAGAUCCGGUGGCACUCACCGACCUAAUAGAAUCUGUUUUACUUACCCACCAGCCUACUUGGGAUGACUGCCAACAGCUCUUACAGGCCCUACAGAUUGUGCAGAGAGACGUCUGGAGACCUUUGGCCGCUGCUUACCAGGACAAGCUUGAACAUCCGGUGGUGCCACACCCGUUCCAGAUUGGAGACACCGUGUGGGUGCGCAGACACCAGACCAAGAAUCUCGAGCCACGGUGGAAAGGACCCUACACCGUCCUCCUGACUACCCCGACCGCCCUAAAGAUAGACGGAGUCUCGGCUUAGAUCCACGCACCACACGUCAAGGCAGUCCGGUCUGAGGAAUUGACUAAUCACAACACUACACCCCAGACAUGGAGAGUUCAGCGCACUCCAAACCCCUUAAAGUUAAAACUCCUACGUGGCUCCUCCUAGCCCUUUUGUGGCCUAGAGUCAGUGGGGGGAAUAAGCCCCCACCAGACAGAAAUUUCUUGACCAAGUCAAGUGAAAGAUUUCACUCAAAGUUAGCAAAAAAAAUGGGGGAAUGAAAGACCCCAGCUUAGCAGCAGUAACGCCAUUUUGCAAGGCUGUACUUAAGAUGACUGGUUCAGGGAAAGGUCAGAACACUGAGUACACAGCGGCUGCCAAACAAGAUGUGUUUGGUUGAAGGCCUGGCAACAGGAGGACUGCCGUUGAGCACCUGACAAUGAGAAAAGCCCCGGGAGAGGUCCCACACCCUGGUGGGGGGCCGAGUCAGUCGUUAUGUUCCAAGAAGGUAGCUAAGAAACUUGCCCCCGGGCUGAACCCUUGGGGGGCCGAGUCAGCCGUUAUGUUUCAGGAAGGUAGCUAGGAAACUUGCCCCCGGGCUAAACCCUUGCCAUAUUAGAAUCCACCAAUUAUAUCCCUGUAACCAUGCAUCUGCUUCUGUAUGCUUGCUUCUGCUCCCCAAAAUCCUAUAAAAGCCCAUCCUUGGUUCCGUGGGGCGCGCCAGUCCCCCGAGUGACUGAAGCGCCCGCAGGUGCCUGUGCCUGUGUAUCCCGACAAUAAACCAAAUCCUCUUGCUGAUUGCA